rnacentral:rRNA from 1 species
CACGGGGGGAGCAAGCGUUGUUCGGAAUCACUGGGCGUAAAGGGCGUGUAGGCGGUCAGGUUAGUGAGAUGUGAAACGCCCCGGCUCACCCGGGGACCUGCAUCUCAAACUGCCUGGCUUGAGUAUGGGAGAGGAUGAGGGAAUUCCUGGUGUAGCGGUGAAAUGCGUAGAUAUCAGGAGGAACACCGGUGGCGAAAGCGCUCAUCUGGCCCAAUACUGACGCUGAAGCGCGAAAGCUAGGGGAGCAAACGGG